AGGGAAUAUUGCACAAUGGGGGAAACCCUGAUGCAGCGACGCCGCGUGAGUGAUGAAGGCCUUCGGGUCGUAAAGCUCUGUCGUAUGGGACUAACACAAUGAAGGUACCAUGCAAGAAAGGAUCGGCUAACUUCGUGCCAGCAGCCGCGGUAAGACGAGGGAUCCUAGCGUUGUUCGGAAUCAUUGGGCGUAAAGCGGGUGUAGGCGGACUUAUAAGUCAGGUGUGAAAUCCCAGGGCUCAACCCUGGAAGUGCACUUGAUACUGUAAGUCUUGAAUGUGGUAGAGGUUACUGGAAUUGUUGGUGUAGUGGUGAAAUACGUAGAUAUCAACAGGAAUACCGGAGGCGAAGGCGAGUAACUGGGCCAACAUUGACGCUGAGAUCCGAAAGCGUGGGGAUCAAAC
rnacentral:rRNA from 1 species